rnacentral:misc_RNA from 1 species
GAUGAAGAACGCAGCGAAAUGCGAUAAGUAAUGUGAAUUGCAGAAUUCAGUGAAUCAUCGAAUCUUUGAACGCACAUUGCGCCCGCCAGCAUACUGGCGGGCAUGCCUGUUCGAGCGUCAUUUCAACCCUCAAGCUCUGCUUGGUGUUGGGGCCCUACGGUUGACGUAGGCCCUUAAAGGUAGUGGCGGACCCUCUCGGAGCCUCCUUUGCGUAGUAACUAACGUCUCGCAUUGGGAUUCGGAGGGAUUCUUGCCGUAAAACCCCCAAAUUUUCUAAUGGUUGACCUCGGAUCAGGUAGGAAUAUCCGCUGAACUUAAGCAUAUCAAUAAGCGGAGGA